CCCGCGGCAAGACGGAAAGACCCCGUGAACCUUUACUAUAGCUUGACACUGAACAUUGAGCCUUGAUGUGUAGGAUAGGUGGGAGGCUUUGAAGUGUGGACGCCAGUCUGCAUGGAGCCGACUUGAAUACCACCCUUUAAUGUUUGAUGUUCUAACGUUGGCCCGUAAUCCGGGUUGCGGACAGUGUCUGGUGGGUAGUUUGACUGGGGCGGUCUCCUCCUAAAGAGUAACGGAGGAGCACGAAGGUU
rnacentral:rRNA from 1 species